rnacentral:misc_RNA from 1 species
UCCCAUCUCUCGACACCAGGCAACGUACUAGAAGACUAUCACGAGCGAGAAGGAUAAACAAGAACGGGACGGGGGAAUAGGUGGGUGGCUGUAGGGUUGUGCGUGGUAUCCUUCGUCAUCGUGUAUGAGGCGGAGUCUAUCGUGAACGUGCGUCGGACGGGGUCUACUGGUAGACGCGGACAGAGGAGAUCUUCCACUGUGCGACAUCAAAGUUCGACGCGUUCGCG